UGUUGUGUGGUAUUGUAAUGACCUAUAGAUGUUAAUCUAAAAUUUGUUGUAACCACAUGUACGAGAACUUGUCACUUGG